AUCAGGUAGGGAUACCCGCUGACCUUAACCAUAUCACUAACCGGAGGAC
rnacentral:rRNA from 1 species